UCAGGUUUCAAUUCUUGCUGAAGACGAUCCUUGUAUAAAUAAUUUGAAGAGCUCUGAAUUAUCACCAUGUAGCUGGUUUUCCGUGGCUUGGUAUCCGAUUUACCGUAUCCCUCUAGGACCAACGAUGAAAAGCCUCGAUGCGUCCUUUCUUACUUACCAUAAGCUGUCAACUGAUUUCAAAAUCAAAACUCAUCCGGAGAUGCGUGACGGAAGGUUGAAAAUCUCUCUUCCAAGCUUUGGCCUAACUACUUAUAAGGUGAAAGGGUCGAUUUUGCCUUUUCCUGCAGCGUCUGAAUCGCGCCUAUUGAACUCGUUUUUGAAGGCUGCUGAUGAUUGGUUGAAGAAUUUGGAGGUCAGCCAUUAUGAUCAUAACCAUUUUGUUAAGAAUGGUAAGCAGUGGGUGGAUUAGAAGAAGGUUUCUUGAGAUGAGUGAAAGUUAGUUCAUGUUGAAGUUAGAAAAGACUUGUUCUUAUUAGGAAUCUCUAUAGUAGGAAGUUGAAAACUCAAUGGUCUCAAUUUUUACUUUGUUUGGAGUUAAAUUAAUGACUGUAUCUUGGUAUCUUGUCAAU